GAAUUACACAUUCGAGAUUGUUCAGCAUUACCAGAAUUUAAAUCACUGAGAUUCUUACAAUACGCUGAGGUUGAUAUAAUACUGUUUUGUUUUAAUUUGGCUACAAUUGGUACAUUAGAUAGUUUGAAAAGCAAAUGGCUGCCGGAAGUCAAAGAACACUGCGGUAAUGCAAUACGUAUUUUAGUUGGUUGUAAAAAUGAUUUGGACUCAAUAAUCAACGAAAGCUUCAUCAUAAAAAUGCAAGAACAUCUAAAAAUCAGUAAAUACGUGAGAUGUUCAGCAAAAACCAAUGAAAACAUUGAUGCUGUAAUUGCAACUGCUUUAAAUGCAGUUUAUUUAAACAAUCGACUCUCUGUAAGGAAAAGCAUCAAGAAACUUUAAUAUCAAAAUAAAUUAUUAAUAAUAAAAGUAUUGAGUGAUUAA